UACAGAGGUCUCAAGCGUUGUUCGGAUUCAUUGGGCGUAAAGGGUGUGUAGGUGGCGCGCUAAGUCGGGUGUGAAAUUUCGGAGCUUAACUCCGAAACUGCAUUCGAUACUGGCGUGCUUGAGGACUGGAGAGGAGACUGGAAUUCAUGGUGUAGCAGUGAAAUGCGUAGAGUAUCAUGAGGAAGACCAGUGGCGAAGGCGGUCUCUGGACAGUUCCUGACACUGAGACGAAGGCCAGGGGAGCAAACGGG
rnacentral:rRNA from 1 species